AGCGAACGCUGGCGGCAGGCCUAACACAUGCAAGUCGAACGAACCCUUCGGGGUUAGUGGCGGACGGGUGAGUAACACGUGGGAACGUGCCUUUAGGUUCGGAAUAACUCAGGGAAACUUGUGCUGAUACCGAAUGUGCCCUUCGGGGGAAAGAUUUAUCGCCUUUAGAGCGGCCCGCGUCUGAUUAGCUAGUUGGUGAGGUAAAGGCUCACCAAGGCUACGAUCAGUAGCUGGUCUGAGAGGAUGACCAGCCACAUUGGGACUGAGACACGGCGCAAACUCCUACGGGAGGCAGCAGUGGGGAAUCUUGCGCAAUGGGCGAAAGCCUGACGCAGCCAUGCCGCGAGGAUGAUGAAGGUCUUAGGAUUGUAAAAUCCUUUCACCGGUGAAGAUAAUGACUGUAGCCGGAGAAGAAGCCCCGGCUAACUUCGUGCCAGCCGCCGCGGUAAUAC
rnacentral:rRNA from 1 species